CGACGACGGGUAGCCGGCCUGAGAGGGUGAUCGGCCACACUGGGACUGAGACACGGCCCAGACUCCUACGGGAGGCAGCAGUGGGGAAUAUUGCACAAUGGGCGAAAGCCUGAUGCAGCGACGCCGCGUGGGGGAUGACGGUCUUCGGAUUGUAAACCCCUUUCAGUAGGGACGAAGCGCAAGUGACGGUACCUGCAGAAGAAGCACCGGCUAACUACGUGCCAGCAGCCGCGGUAAUACGUAGGGUGCGAGCGUUGUCCGGAAUUACUGGGCGUAAAGAGCUCGUAGGCGGUUUGUCACGUCKKCUGUGAAAUCCCUCGGCUUAACCGGGGGCGUGCAGGSGAUACGGGCAGACUUGAGURCUACAGGGGAGACUGGAAUUCCUGGUGUAGCGGUGAAAUGCGCAGAUAUCAGGAGGAACACCGGUGGCGAAGGCGGGUCUCUGGGUAGUAACUGACGCUGAGGAGCGAAAGCAUGGGUAGCGAACAGGAUUAGAUACCCUGGUAGUCCAUGCCGUAAACGGUGGGCGCUAGGUGUGGGGUCCUUCCACGGACUCCGUGCCGUAGCUAACGCAUUAAGCGCCCCGCCUGGGGGAGUACGG
rnacentral:rRNA from 1 species